GUCCUCACGUUGGCAGCACACAUAAUGGAACCAGCAUGACAUAGAGAUUAGCAUGGCUCCUGCCCAAGGAUGACACACAAAUUUGUGUAUGGUGUCUGUAUUUU